GUGUGUGUGCCUCCCUGAAUUUUAAAACUCCGAGAUUAUCUUUGCGUUACUAACCGGCGAUGUUGGGAUUUAAAUUUUUAAUGCGCAUUUUAUUAAAGUAAGAUUUUCCUGAUUUAUCGUAACAAAACUGAGUUUACCCCUUAUAAACCCCUAGCUUUUAAUUUACAGAUAAAACUUACUCGUAUUCAUAUAUAAUUAUUUCACCCCUAUAUUUCGUUCUCACGCAUAAUAGAAGGGUUACCAUGGGGCCUGCUGACAAGGUGUCCUUAUCGCCAAAAGAAUUAAAGACCAAUAAAUGCCGAAAUUCUUAAUAACCGUAAUAAAUAAUUUCGGCUUAUCUGGCGGUUAUCGUAAACGGCAUUAUCGUUAACAUUAUAAUCAGGGGAGCCUUAUAAAUAAAUACGCCGGUGGUUAUCUAUACCCAGCCACUUACCGUUGGACAUAUUUUAAUCAUCUUUUAUGAUAGUGGGAAGAUAACCCGUUUUGUUCAGUUCUCGAUUCAUUUUUUAUCUGGUGUUUGGGAGGUCGUAUAUACGUUUCAUUUUAUUAUUUGAUGAAAAUUUAGUAAUUAUUAAUUUAAAAAAACCAAAAACUUGUUUCUUAAGUUCUGGAAACCAUGUUUCCUCCAUAAAGCUUGUACGGUGGGAAUCGGAAUCGUAUGUCGGCCAUCUUGGUAAAAUUGACAGAAAUGACGUUGUUGGAAUUGAUUGAUGGAGUGUCAUAUCAUUUGCUUUUCAAUGUAUACCGUAAACAGAGGUUGGGUUUGUUUUAAGGAUGCUAUUUUCAUUUUUCUCUUUCAAUAUCAGGAGUAAUGUUUUAAUUGAUUUGCGGCAAUUUCAGGUUUCCGUUUCAAUGAGACGAGACAGAAGUACAAAGACUAAGAGAGCUAAGUACCCAGAAUGGACCAGAAUAAAUAUUUCUGUUAUAACUUGAGUUUAUUUUAAUUUCUUGUAGACAUGUGUCUUUCAAUUAAGUUUUUUUAUGUUAUAGUUCGAAGCUAUGCUGUUAAUAUUAUGAGAGACAAAUAGAUUGUAUUGUGUAAGAGA